rnacentral:lncRNA from 1 species
UAUCAUCCAAUGCAAAGAAGGAUUUGGGAGUGAGCUUUGUGGAGGUGAGAGGAAAAAGGAUGGAUCCCAGGAGGCUGUCCUUCCCGGGUUCCUGGGUAGAGGGCUCAGCCUUAGUGAGGCAGAGACUGCUCAUGGAGUCCAGGUUGCCUUCCUCUCCAGCAGAGUUGAUGGAAAGAGCUUGGAUGUGUGGAAGGAAGCUGUUAUACAAGUUCAAGGGGUGGGCUGCUAUUGAGUGGAUAAUUGAGCAUUCUGAAAGCGCUGUGAGCUAACGGGGUCCGCGCCUGCGCCUGGUGACAAACGGCGGUAACUACAGUGCUCUUUACCCUGGGGGAGCGUUUAGCUCCUGCUCCCUGUGUGCAUGGUGUGCGGUGCUGGGAGGGGGUUUACAAGAGGCAGCUGCUUGUGUCUCCAGCCCUGUGCUCCUUAGUAUCUUAGUAGUGGAAUAAAAUCACUAGGUUCACCUUCUUCCUAAUUCAUUUCCCUGUUUCAUGGCAGGAUUUAUUGUCAAGGGAAACUCGAACAUUUGUCAGCGCGUCUCCAAUGAAGGCGGUUCGGCUUCCGCCAGCUGUUCUCAGUGCUUGGUCCCUGAACACGUCCUCUAACCUGUGCGUCAUUCGUGAGGAGCCUUUCACUAGGAGGUCCGCACAGUGUUAAAGCUGAUCUGACGGGAGGCCUUUUUCAUUUUGGAUACAUCGCCCCCCAAAAAAAUGAAAGAGGAAAGAAAAAAAGAGAAGGAAAGAAAAAUGAAUGAAAGGAAGGAAGGAAGAAAGAAGUGAGUCCUGAAUAUGGUUCACUGGCCCAGUCUGGAAGAGGUGUGGAAUCUGCUGGAAUCUUCCGCCUGCCACUCACGGCCUCCGCCAGGCUCCUCCGUCGUGACCUCACGGCACAGGAGGCCCGGCCAUGGUGCAGGCGGAGUGCUCGUCCGUUGCAGAGAGAGACUCGGUGGUAGGGCAAGGGCUGCAACGCCCUGCCUGUCCCCCCGCCGCUGAGCCAGCAGGUGGGGAGCCGGCCCCACCCGCAGCCCAGCACCCCCACCCCGUGCCGGUGUGUCCUCGUGCUGCUCUUGUGCCUGGUCUGUUUUCCCCCAGCUGCAGCUCCCACAUCUGUCCUGCCAACUCUUGGGAUCUUACUAAACAGCUUCUCUCUUUUCAGAUCCGUUUCCGUUCCGUGCCCCUUAAUCAGCAGUCUUCACUGCCAGUCUCUUCACACAUAGCUGGCCACCAUCUGUCACCUCAGGAGUCUCUGGCUGAGUCCUUCCACACUCGUCACCCAUUCUCUGCAGUAACAUCAUUGUCCAAGGUCAGACCUUUUGGGAAGCACACCCCUUUCGGGUUUCCCUGGCACCGCCCUUCCUGGAAGCCAGGACUGGCUCUCCUCUGGCUGAGCAGCUGUGUCAUCUUUCCUGGGCAUUUCCUUGGCCCUUCUCCUCUCCUGGAGCCCUUGUCUCCUAGAUUCCCUGCUUCCUCUCUCUGUCCUAUCACAAGAUGGGAAAGCACAUAUGUAGUAGCUUCUAAGACUUGGCACAUCUGAAAAUGUCUCUUCUCUUCUCCUGCUUCAUUUAUAUCUUGGCUGGAUGUAUAAUUCCAGAUAAAAAUACUUUCACUCAGAAUUUUGAAGGCAUUGCUCCAUUGUUUUCCACUCCAAUUCUUGAUCCUCUGUAUGUGACUUUUUUCUCUCUGAAAGCUUUUAGGAUCUCUUUAUCCCUGAUUUUUGUUUUUUAAAGAUUUUAUUUUUCCCUUUUCUCCCCAAAGCUCCCCCCCAGUACAUAGUUGUAUAUUUUUAGUUGUGGGUCCUUCUAGUUGUGGCAUGUGGGAUGCCGCCUCAGUAUGUCUUAAUGAAUGUUGCCAUGUCCGCGCCCAGGAUCCGAACUGGUGAAACCCUGGGCUGCUGAAGUGGAGCAUGUGAACUUAACCACUCAGCCAUGGGGCCCUAUCCCUGAUGUUUUGAAAUUUUAUAUGACUAAGCCUUGUUUGAAGUUAUCUUUUAAAAUUCACUGUGCUGCAUUAUGUGUGUUAAAUUCCUGGUUUUGAUAUUGUACUAUAAUUAUGUAAGAUGUUACUGAGGGGAUGUGGGUGAAAGGUACACAGGACAUUCCUGUGCUAUCUUUGUAGCUUCCUGUGAAUCUAUAAUAAUUUCAAAAUUAAAAGUUAAAAAAAUAUAUAAAUAGUGACAUCAUGGAAAAUGGCAGAGGUGGACAUUCCAAGAAUCAGCCCCUCCAAUGAAACAGUCGAUAAGCUAGCAAGAAAUGACAAACUCAACUUUUGUAGAACUCUGGAUUUUAAUCAGAUACUUAAACCAACUAGGGGAGUGCCUAAUGAAUCUUAAGUGACCUACCCUGCAGAUUUUGGACUUCCCAGCCUCCAUAAUCAUGUAGGCCAAUUCCUUAAAAUAAAUCUCUCUCUCUCUCUUUUUCCAAACAGACAUUCUAUUGGUUCUGUUUCUCUGGAGAACCUUGACUAAUACACUAUUGAAGCUAAAUUCGUGUCAAUUCAAACUAGAUUUUUUUAACUUAAGAUGUUAAUUAUAAUCACCAGGGUAACCAGUAAGAAAAUAACUAAAAAAUUAUACAGAAAAAGAAACAAAGGGGAAAUCAAAAUGGUAUACUAGAAAAAAAGAAAAUCAGUCAAACACAACAGAAGGCAGUGUGGAAAGAAUUCAAGAACAAAAAGUCAUAAAAUUUAUAGAAAACAAAUAGCAAAAUGUAAGAAGCUAGUGCUUCCUUAGCAAUAAUUACUUUAAAGGUAAAUAGGUAAAAUUCAUCAAUUAAAGGACAGAGAUUGGCAGAGUGGAUGAAAAAACAUGAUACUACUAUAUAUGUUGCCUAGAAAAGACUCACUUUAUUUUUAUUUUUUUUUUUUAAAGAUUUUAUUUUUUCCUUUUUCUCCCCAAAGCCCCCCCGGUACAUAGUUGUAUAUUCUUUGUUGUGGGUCCUUCUAGUUGUGGUAUGUGGGACGCUGCCUCAGCAUGGUUUGAUGAGUGGUGCCAUGUCCGCGCCCAGGAUUCGAACCAACGAAACACUGGGCCGCCUGCAGCGGAGCGCGUGAACUUAACCACUCGGCCACGGGGCCAGCCCCAGAAAAGACUCACUUUAGAUCCAAAGACACAAAUAGGUUGAAUGUGAAAGGAUGGAAAAAGAUAUUCCGUGCAAAAGAGAGCUGGGGUGGGCAUACUUAUAUCAGAAAAAAAUAGACUUUAAGUAAAAAAUUAUUAUAAGAGACAAAAAAGGACAUUAUAUAUUGACAAGAGGGUCCAUUCAUCAAGAAGAUAAAAGUUACAACCAUAUACAUACCAAACUACAGAACCUGAAAAUAUAUGAAGCAAACAUUAGCAGAACUGAAGGGAAAAAUAACAAUUCUAUAAUAAUAGUUGGAGACUUCAAGAAUUCACAUUCAAUAAUGGAUAGGACAUCUAGACAGAGAUCAGUAAGAAAAUGAGGACUUGAACAACACUGUAAACUAACUUGACCUAACAGACAUAUAGAAAACACUUCCUCCAGAAAGAGCAGAAUACACAUUUUUAUCCAGAGCACAUGGAAUAUUCUUCAGGAUAGACCAUAUGUUAGGCCAAAAAACAAGUCUCAAUAAACUUAAGAAGAUUGAAAGCAUAUAAAGUAUCAUUGGUGAUUACAGUGAAAUGAAAUUAGAAAUCAGUAGCAUAAGGAAAACUGGAAGUUUCACAAAUAUGUGGCAUUUAAAAAACAUACUUCUAAUAACCAGUGAGUCAAAGAAGAAAUUACAAGUGAAGUUAUAUUUUGAGAUGAAUGAAAGUGAAAACACAACAUAUGAAAAACUUAUGAGAUGCAAUGAGGGCAGUGCUCAGAAGGAAAUUCAUAGUUACAAAGACCUUCAUUAAAAAAAGAAGAAAGGGGGCCAGCUUGGUGGUGCAGCUAUUAAGUUCACACAUUCUGCUUCAAUGGCCUGGGGUUCGCUGGUUUGGAUCCCAGGUGCGGACAUGGCACUGCUUGGCAAGCCAUGCUGUGGCAGGCGUCCCACUUACAAAGUAGAGGAAGAUGGGUAUGGAUGUUAGCUCAGGGCCAGUCUUCCUCAGCAAAAAGAGGAGGAUUGGCCACAGAUGUUAGCUCAGGGCGAAUCUUCCUCAAAAAUUAAUUAAAUUUUUUAAAAAGAGAAAGAUCUCAGAUCGUUUACCUGAUUUAAGGACUAGAAAAAAAAAAGAACAAAGUAAACCCAUAGCUUGCAGGAGGAAAGAGAUGAUCAAGAUUAGAGAGCAGACAAUAUAGAGAAUAGAAAGGCAAUAGAAUUCUUGAAGCUAGAAGUUGUUUCACUGAAAAGAUCAUUGAAAUUGGAAAACCUUUUAGUAAGACCAAGAAAAAGGAUUCAAAAUAAAAAAAUCAGAAAUAAAAGUGGAGGCAUUACUACAGACAUUAUAGAAAUAAAAGGAUAUAAGAGAAUACUAGGAAUAAUUAUAUACCAACAAAUUAGAUAACCUAGGUGAGAUGGACAAAUUCCUAGAAACACAAAUUACCAAAACUGAUUAAAGAGGAAAUAGAAAAUCUCAACAGACCUAUAACAGGUAAAGAGAUUGAAUCAGUAAUUUAAGACCUCCCAACAAAGAAAGGUCUAAAUAUUAAAGAAGAAUUAACACCAAUCCUUUGUAAAUUCUUCCCAAAAAUAGAGGAGGGAAUACUUCCUAACUCAUUCUGUAAGACCUAUAUUACCCUGAGACCAAAGCUAGGCAAAGGCACUCCCAGAAAAUAACACUUCAGACCAAUAUCCUUUAUGAAUACUGAUGCAGAAAUCCUCAACAAAAUACUAGCAAGCUGAAUCCAACAGCAUAUUAAAAGGAUAUACACCAUGACCAAGUGGGAUUUAUCCCAGGAAUGCAAGGGUGGUUCAACAUACAAAAAUCAAUCACUGUAAUAUACCUUAGUAAUAGAACUAAGGGGAAAACCUCCACAUGAUCAUCUCAAUUGAUGCAGAAAAAGCAUUUGACAAAACUUAACACCCUUUCAUGAUGAAAACACUAUUCUAGGAAUAGAAAUAGUAAUUCUAGAAAUAUUCUAGGAAUAGGAAUAGAAGGGAACGUCCUCCACAUAGUAAAGGGCAUUUAUGAAAAACUCACAGCUAACAUCCUGCUCAGACAGACAUCUUUCACUCCAAGAUAAAGAAUAAGAGAAAGAUGCUCAUUUUCACCACUGCUCUUCAACACAGUACUGGAAGUUCUAGCCAGAGCAAUUAGAUAAGAAAAAGAAAUAUUAGGCAUCCAAACUGGAAAGGAAGAAGUAAUAGAAGUAUCUCUAUUCACAGACAACAUGAUCCGGUAUGUAGAAAAUCCCAAAGAAUCCACAAGAAAGCUACUAAAGGAAUUCAGCAAAAUUGCAGUGUACAAGAUCAAUACAAAAAAAAUCAAUGUAUUUCUUUACAAUAGCCAUGAGCAAAUUAAAAAUAAAAUUAAGAAACCUACCCAAUUUACAACUGCAUCCAAAAGAAUAAAAUACAUAGAAAUAAGUUAAAGCAAGAAGGUGAAGGACUUGUACACUAAAGAUUGCAAAACAUUGAAAGAAAUUAAAGAAGACAAAUAAAUGGAAAGACAUCCAUUGUUCAUGGAUUGAAAGACUUAAUAUUGUUAAGAUGACAAUACUAUCCAAAAUGUUCUAUGGAUCAAUCUAAUCCCUAUCAAAAUGGCUACAGCUUUUUUUUCAGAAAUGGAAAGCCAAUCCUCACAUUCAUAUGGAAUUGUAAGGGACCCUGAAUAACCAAAACAGUAUUGAAAUAGAACAACAAAGUUGGAGGGCUCACAUUUCCCAAUUUCUUGCAAAGCUAUAGUAAUCAAAACAAUUUGGGACAGGCAUAAAGAUAGAUAUAUAGACCAAUGGAAUAGAAUUGAGAGUCCAGAAAUAAACCUGUGUAUCUAUGGUCAAUUGAUAUUCAACAAGGGUGCCAAAAGAAUUUAAUGGGAGAAAGAAUAGUGUCUUCAACAAAUGGUGCUGGGACAACUGAAUAUCUACAUAUAAGAGAAUGAAGUUCGACUAUUAACUUACAUACAAAAACUAACUCAAAAUGGAUCAAAGACCUAAAUAUAAGAGCAAAACCCAUAAAAUUCUUAGAAGAAAACAUAGGGGUAAAUAUUCAUGACCUUGGAUUUGGCAACGGGUUCUUAGAUAUGACAACAAAAGCAUGAGCAACAGAAGACAAAAUAGAUAAAUUCGACUUCAUCAAAAUAAAAGCUUUUUUGCAUCAAAGGACACUAUCAAGAGAGUGAAAAGACAACCUAGAGAAUGGGAGAAAAAUUGCAAAUUGUAUAUCUGAUAAGGGUCUCUUAGCCAGAAUAUAUAUAGAACUCUUACAACUCAACAAUAAAAAGAGAACCCAAUUUAAAAAUGGGCAAAGGAUCUGAAUAGACAUUUCUCCAAAGAAGAUAUGGAAAAUAACAAGCACUGGAAAAGAUGUGGAGAAAUUGAAACCUUUGUUCGUGCUGGUGGUAAUGUAAAAUGGUAUAGUCACUCCACUCCUAGUUAUAUACCCCAAAGUAUUGAAAACAAGUACUCAAAUACUUGUACACGAAUGUUCAUAGCAGCACUAUUUACAGUAGCCAAAAGGUGGAAAUAACUCAAAUGUCCUUCAACUGAAUGGAGAAACAAAUGUGGUAUAUCCAUACACUGGGAUAUUAUUCAGCCAUAAAAAGGAAUGAAAUACUGAUACAUACUACAACGUGGAUGAAUCUCUAAAACAUUAUGCUAAGUUUGAAUAAUGAAAGAAGCCAGACACCAAAGGCCACAUACUGUAUGAUUCCGUUUAUAUGUAAUAUCUAUAAUGGGUAAAUCCAUACAAAUGGAAAGCAGCUUGGUUGUUGCCAAGGGCUGGGGGGAGGGGCAAAUGGGGGAAAUCUACUGAAUGGGUAUGGGAUUUCCUUUGGGGGUGAUGAAAAUGUUUUGGAACUAGAUAGAGGUGGUGUUUGCACAACAGUGUGAAUGUACUGAAUACCACUGAAUUGUAUACUUUAGAAUGGUUAACUUAUGUGAAUUUCACCUCAGUAAAAAAGAAAAAAAUAUGAAUAAAUACAUGCGUGUAUACAUACAUAAAGCUGAGGUCAGGCAGCAAGGCAUCGAAAAAAAUCGCUUUGGGAACGUGGUGGUGCCUUUGGUUCCGGUAGUGAUUUCUUUGAUAAUUUCCCCAUCAUUCUCUCUUCUCUUUUUCUGGAAGUCCUCUUAGUCAUAUGUUGAGCUUCCUGGAUUGAUCUUGUAAUUUUCUUAUAUUUUCUCUCCUCUUUGUUCUCCCUUAUGGGAGAUUUCCUGGACUUUAUCUUCCACCCCUUUCACUAAUUUUUAUUUUGGCAAACUGUAUUUUUAAUUUCUGUCUUUCCUGUUCAUUAUCACAUCUCGUUCUUGCUUCACAGAUGUAGUGUCGUAGCUCCUCUCUCUGCAGAAAUAAGUGCGAAGUGAAGCUUUCUUGUGUGUCAGCGUCUCCUCCACGUCCCUUCCCAUCGCAGGCUUUCCUCAGAUGUCUCUUCAUACUGACAUGCCCCAAACCCCGCGAGAGCUCCGGGUGGAGCGCGAGGCUUGCUGGGGCUGGGCUUCACUGUCGGGUGUGCUGUGACUUCUUCCUUGAACCCCAAAGACCUUGUCUCUAGAUUGGUUCAGUUUCUCCCAAUAAGACUCAGCCUUUUGGAGGAGGCGGGGGUGUGUCUGUGUUUACCUAGGGGUCUAAGAGCCCAGGCUGUGAAAUUACCCCUUCCAGCCUGUCCCCUGCCCUCCCCUGCGUGCCCUUUCUCUGGACAGUCCCCAGGCUAUGACGGCUCCUGUCCCUCCUGUCCGACCGCCCUCCGCUGCAUCACUGCUCCUCCCUCUGCUUUCCACCUUCACGUGUGGGCUGCGAGGCUGCUGCCUCCGUGUAGUUUCUGAAGUUUGUGUUUCUGUUUUUUUUCCUUAUAGUUUUGUGGACAUUUCAGAGAUAAGGGCAAAAGGUCUUCUUCCCCACCAUGUCGAAAUCAAAGUUCUGUUCACUUUUAUAAACAAUAUUAAUUGAAAAAAAUACAUAAAAGCAAUCCAUGUUUAUGGUUAAAAAAAAAAGAUACAGGAGUCUCUGGGGAAGAGUGAAGUCCUCCCCAGGAGGAAGACUGACUGGCCUCUGCCAGUUGACUCCCGACUUUUAAGGCUUCCAGAAAUGUUUGCUGCACAUGCAAGUAUGUGUGUUUUUUUUCUUUUCUUUCUUUUAUUAAACACAGAUGGGAUCAUACUGUGUACAUUGUUUUGUGUCUUUUUCUACAUUAUCUUGCAAAGUCCCCUCUUUCGGAUUAGCUGUAUGAUAGCACUGCAGUCUUAAUUCCUGAAGGACUCGAGGGCUCCUUGCAGGUAAGUGCUGGGUCUGCACAGGCGGUGGGUGCAGGUGGAGCGGCCUGCGUGCUGGGGCAUGCUGGGGACCGCCCUCUGGGCGUGCAUCUCUUACAGACGCUGUGUGAACACUUUCUCCAGUGACAACCUCUUGUUCCACUUGUAGGUAACUCUGUUCCUGUCAAGGUGACUCUGUAUAACCUGGUAGAGGUAAUGGUCUAAAAACUGUCAUGUAGGGAGUUCUGUUCUAGAGGGAAACAUAUACUUUUUUUUUUUGAGGAAGAUUAGCCCUGAGCUAACAUCUGCCGCCAAUCCCCCUCUUUUUUGCUGAGGAAGACUGGCCCUGAGCUAACAUCCGUGCCCAUCUUCCUCUACUUUAUAUGUG